UACGAAGGGUGCAAGCGUUACUCGGAAUUACUGGGCGUAAAGCGUGCGUAGGUGGUUUGUUAAGUCCGCUGUGAAAGCCCUGGGCUCAACCUGGGAAUGGCAGUGGAUACUGGCGAGCUAGAGUGCGGUAGAGGGUAGUGGAAUUCCCGGUGUAGCAGUGAAAUGCGUAGAGAUCGGGAGGAACACCAGUGGCGAAGGCGGCUACCUGGACCAGCACUGACACUGAGGCACGAAAGCGUGGGGAGCAAACAGG
rnacentral:rRNA from 1 species